GCGCUCUUAGUUCAGUGCGGUAGAACGCAGGUCUCCAAAACCUGAUGCCGUAGGUUCAAAUCCUACAGAGCGCGA
rnacentral:tRNA from 1 species